AUAGGAUCAACGUUUUUCAUAUAUAUUUUUUAAAUUUUUAGUAUUAAUUUCCUAGAGAUAGGAUCUCGCUCUAUUGCCUAGGCUGGAGUGAAGUAGUGUGAACAUAGCUCACUUCAGCCUUCAACUCCUGAGUUCAAAGGAUCCUCCCACUCCCAGUCUCCCAAGUAGCUAGGACUACAAGUGUCAGGUGUGUAUUACCAUUCCUCAUGCCCGGCUAAUAUUUUCUUCUUGUUCUUCUUCUUUUUGUUUUGUUUUUUUUUGGUAGAGGUGAGGUCCUGCUUUGUUACUCACCCUGGUCUCAAACUCCUGAACUCAAGCCAUCUUCUCACCUCAGUUUCCACCUGAGCCUCUGAAAGCUCUGGGAUUACAGGAUAAUAACCCAACACCCACUGGAUGACAGGUGUGAAAAGAGCUGUAACACGCGUUUCUGCUGGGGAGCAACAGGAGUGAAAAAACCGCUGGACACCACAGGCCCCCGUUUGCUGAGCUAAGGGUGGCAGGAACAAACAAGAACUGUAACACUUCCUGGGGGCUCAGACCUCUGGACUCUCCAAGCAAAAGCUGUAACACUCCUUGGGGCUCUGCGUUUGCUGGCUUCUCCAUGUUUUCGGACGCCAUCGCAUCCCCCUCGUCUAGAUGUCGGCACCCAAGGAGGAAGCCAGUUGCGGCAUGGCUGGACCAGCUGCAGGCUGAGGGCAGAGCUGCAAUGGGCAUAGGAUCCAGGCCAGUAGUGUGAGCUGAGCGCAGCCUGCCGCCGAGUGGGUGGAACGAGCCCACUGGCGAUUUUCAGCUGGUGAAGUGGCACCGAAAGAAUCCUGUAUCAAAUGCACCCAAAUGGGAGUGGAGGGGGAAGGUGAAAUUGAUAGUUUUAGUAUUUUGAAUGCUUGGGGCACUUGCGUCUUAUGAAGCUUGCAAACCAGCCAAUAAGACAGAUGUAAAGUAAUAAUAAUGAUGUAGGCCGAAUGUUCUUGAUUUGGUUUGGCUCUAUGUCCCCACCCAAAUCUCAUGUCGAAUUGUAAUCCCCAAAUGUCAAGGGAGAGACCUAGUGGGAUGUGAUCGGAUCAUGGGGGCAGAUUUCCCCCUUGCUGUUCUUGUGAUAGUAUGUUCUCACGAGAUCUGGUUGUUUGAAAGUAUGUGGCAUUUCCCCCUUCACUAUCUUUCUCUUCUGCUCCACCAUAGACAGACAUACUUGCUUGCCCUUUACCUUCCACCAUGAUUGUAAGCCUCCUAGCCAUGAUUCCUGUACAGCCUGUGGAACUGUGAGUCAAUUAAACCUCUUUUCUUCAUAAAUCACCCAGUCUCAGGUAGAUCUUUAUAGCAGUGUGAGAACAGACUAAUACAGUUCUGAUAAUAAAUAAUAUACCUGAGAAAUAUACACUGAUUUAAUUUUACUUUAGCGAAAGGUAUUUAUGUAAAUAGAAAUAUAAUUGAAUGGAAAGAUGGAUAGAAACAGAUGAUAGAUAUGAAAUUAUAUUUUAGAUAUAUAAUUAUUCAAGUAUAAAAAAGAGUAUCUGAUAAGUUAAUAAAAAAUCUGCAUGUUAAAAUCAGUAAGCAUGAAUGCAAUAAACUCCAUUUGCUAUGAUUACAGUUCUUAUUGUCAGUAUGCAGGAAUUACCAACAACUUUAUAUUGUGCCUGCUACAAGUUCUCAAUAUUGGACAAAAUAAAUAAAAGCCAAAAUAUUUCUUUAAAAAGUUAACUGCAUCCAACAUUGCUAAACACUACAAAGCACCACCUUACAGGGGUAACAUUCAAGUUGAUUAAUAUAAUAUUUUCUCUCACAAGUGGAAUCAUGUCACUAUAACUCAAGGAUACUGAUGAAGAAGUAAUGGCCAAAGUGAAAUUUUUGACAACUGGCAAUAUAGCCAUAUCAUAUAGAUCAUUUCUGUUAUGUUUUGUCAAAGAACCUUAAAUUUUUUCCUAUCUAAACUUUCACCAACAUAAAUAAUAGAUCUCUUUCCAUAUUCUCUGCAAUAACAUUUGCAGUAAAUUUAAUUUAUAAUACUGCACCACGUAUCCAGUGCUGUACUGUCAUUGAGAUUAUUGAAAUGAUAGUUCUGCUAGAUAAUCUAUCAAUCCAAAUGGCAGAACUUGGACCAAUCUCGUCUAUAUUAAAAUUACCUUCCCUGUAAGAAACCUAUAAUUCUUUUCUUCUCUUUCACAACUUUGCCUCUGUUUUGAGUUUUAUGAAUAAUUGCAUUUCUACUGAUCAAAAACAAAUUCUAGUAUACUAGGUACACUGUCAUUGAUCACUAUAAGCACUAAUGUAUGAAUAAAAAUAUGUUUAUGUUUCAAGCUAAAACUGACAUCUCUGUAAUAAGAAAUCAUACACAAUCUAGCACAUUACCAUCCUUCUACCUGGGGAGGGAGAGAACUUGGGCUUUAUAAGAGUCAAGAUUUGAUCUAAUAAAAUAUUGAUGAGUGGCAUGCCUGUCAUUCUCUCAGUGUCCUACAUGCUUUCUCUCUUGUUAAUAUAAUACAUCGAAGGCAUUGCUAUCAAUUAGCGCAGUGUCACAGAAUGCGAAACCAGGACAAAAAUUCUCCAGCUGAAUAUCAUCCUGUUCACAGUAUUGAAUAGUACUGUGGGUACAGUUUGUCUAGGAUGGAUAAGGGUAAAAUAAUAUAGAACAUUUAAAAAUUAUUUUUAUUGUGAUUUAAAAUGGUUACUCGUUUCAACUCUGGAAACUAGUUUCACAGUUUUUUCCUCUAGAGGGGCAUUAGUUGGGUCGAUUCUUACUAAGUCCUUACUAAGCAAGAGAAAAACCAUGCACAGGAAUCUCCAAACUGGAACUUCUUUUCAGAAUAUUUUGGAACGCUAGUAGACCAAAACCUAAAAUAAAAAUGUAGCUGCAGCACUUAAGCAACUAACUUUGUGGACUAAACUUAUUGAUAUUCUAACUAAAUUAGUUGGUUAUUUGGUGUAACAUGAUCCUAGGAAUUGGAAAUUCGAAGUCAAGUCCUCAGUGUCCAUGUCCUUUAACUUCACUGAUACUUGAAAAGAUGGGGAGUCUUUCUUCAAAAUGGAGAGAAAGGUUAUUCCUUAUUCCUUGAGAAGGCAUUUGAAACAAAUAGAAAAAAUAAAUAAAUAAUUGACAAUGAAAACUGGCAGCAUCUUUCAAACAAUACCCUGGCUGAAAAUAUCAAUCAAUUAAAAACCUUGCAUUUUAAAAAUUGAAAAAGGAAAUCGUAGCGCACACUUAGUGGUGCCAUUUAUGAAAGUACAAGGAGAAAACCUCUUAGUGGUCUGGGUUCUGAUGUAAGCCUACUGAAUUUUGAGAGAAGAAACCCAAAGAUGAAUGCCAAUGAAAAGUAAUAGGUUCUCUCAGUUAUGUUUCAUAUUUAGACAGUAUCAACAACACCAAAAUAUUCAAACAGGUCAACUGGGUAGAAAAAUAAUUAGUUAUUUCCCAUUGACUAGAUAAGCAACUUGUUUAACUGCUUUUACUUCAUUUGGUAACCUGUUAGUAUUACAUAAUACAAACAUAGCUGUAUUUUAAAAAUAGUAAACCAAAGUUUUGUUACAGAAUAAGCCACAACAUAUAGCUGUGAGUGUUAGGGUUUUCAUAAAGAAAUGGAUUGCCAUUUUUUCCAGUUUAUUUCAAAGCAGCUGAUUCAGACAUUAGAGGAAUCAUUUAUAGAAGAAAGAUGCAUUAAUUCCUAUUAGGUAAAAGGCUGUCUCUGGCUAUGCAUAGGGUUAAAAAAAUAAUGCUCAAGAAAUGAGUCCAAUGAACUUUGUAUAUACUUACCUUUCAUUGUUUUUACACAAUUUGAAAGUAUUAAGCAAAUAAUUUACUAUCCCUGGGGGUGGGGGGAGGGAGAAAUAAAUCAGCCAGCCAAAGAUCUGAUUCUUGUUGUUUGUUUUGUUGUAAUUUAAUUGUAUUUUUCAAAUAGGUAGUUCAAUCAUAUGGUGCAAAGAGAAAACAAUAUUAAAAGACAGAAAUUAAGAAGUUCUCUUUUGUUCCUGUCAUUGUCCAAACCAUUCUUACCCACAAAGCCCUGUCACUUUAAUUAGUUUCUAGUAUAGCCUCCCAGUAUUUCUGCAUAUAGAUAAAGAAUAUAUAACAUGACUAGACACACAGAAUAUAUAAGUAUAUAUUCUUAUGUGUAAAAUUAUUUUCUUUUAAGAAUUUUAAAAUUACCUUUUAAGAAUAAGAAUAUAAAUAUUUUUAUUUUAAAAACUGACAGACGUAAAAUUUACUUUUUUUGUGGUACAGUUCUAUGAGUUCUAACAGAGUAUAGAUUUGUAGAACUACCUCCACACUCGGAAGAAAGAUGAGUUCCAUCAUUCCCCAAAUCUCCCAUGGUACUUCUCUGUGAUUAUGCCCUCUCUCCAUCCCAAACCCCUGGCAGCCAUUCAUCUGUUCUCUCUUGUUAAAGUUUUAUCUUUUUAAGUAUGCCAUAUAAAUGGAAUUACACACACACACACACACACACACACACACACACAUAUGUAAUCUUUUAUGAUUGGCUGCUGUUGCUUAACAUAAUGUAUUUAAGAUGCAUCUAAAUUUAUGUAUCUCAUCAGCAACUUGUGGGAGCACCUGUUCCUCCAAAGUGUCACUAAAAAAGCAUUUUGUCAAACUUGGCUCUUUCGUUCCUUCUAGUUGUUUAGAGUUAUCUGUAAGACACUAGAAAACAAUCAUUCUGGGUAAACACAAUUCCUUGUUUUUCAUUCUAAUUUGAUAAAGAAUACAUACACACAAAGUGUUAGGUUGUCAUAAGACAAGGCAAGAACUCUGGUGCUUAAUCACUCAACGUGGACCACUUUGUCUAGAAAAUUGCUUUAAAAGACCAAAAAAAUGUUUCAAACAGUAAUAUGAAUAUGGUUUAUAAAGUGUGUCUGAUCUCAUUUUAUGAAUUUAACACCUUCACCUGUUUUAUGCAUCCAUUCCUUUCCCAAUGUUUUAUUUUAUUGAAUAUGUACACGUUCUUUUUAAACACAAAACCAAAAGCAUUUUCUCCCAAAUAUUAUGGACAUUUCAACAGAAUUAUAUUUGUUUACUUGACUUUUUAUUGAAUUACUUUGCUAACUAUCUUCAUUUCCCAUUUUAGUUUGCCAAAAUAAAGCAAAAGUUCUUAGGAGGAAAGUUUCAACUGAGACUAUUUUUUCUAACACAGGGACUUCUAAAUGUGGUCUUAGUUUAAGUCCUGGGACUCAUAGUUAUUGCAACAACUAUAUCCAAUAUUUAACAUUUAAUUUUUCUCAUUAACCUUGAAACUUAUUACUAAUUCUUCAGUUACUCUCUCAUAUUCAUCUUAAUCAUAGAAAGUUUGUUGUCAUUUCCUAUCAUAUUUUAAUUCAUUAUUUAUGAAAAGAGUAAUUUCAAUUUGCCUUUAAGCAUUAACUCUGGAUUUUUCAGGAUUUUCUAUUUCUUUUAAGUGUUGGUUCUGUAGUUGAAAUGACUAUUUAAGGGCCACUAUUCUCUUAUAAACAUAUAUUUUGGGGGCUUUUAGAAACAAAUUAUGUAAAAAUAUAAUUAUGGGCCUUAUAUGAGAGUUAAAGACAACUAUUUAUUUUUGACCUGUGCUACUAUGUGGGAAAAAUCAUACUUUUUAAAUGAAAUGAGAAUAACAUACCCAGUAUUAGAAAAAUGUUUAAGGCUAACUCCAAUUAUAGUAUCAAAAUAUAAUCAACGUAAUAACUCUAAUUACAAUAAAUUAUUUAAAAACAGGUAUAAAUCAGACCAAUUUUUAUGUGAGCUUUAAAUAGUCUGAAAUAGUUUUAUUGCAAUUAAACCUCAUGAAUCAUGCAAGUUUCUAGUCAAAUAAAAUUAUUUUAUUUGCCUACUAUUGCUAAUUUUAUACUUUAGCACAACUUGAAGGUCAUAGCAAAAAUAUAUACACUAAGAAAAACCUCUCAAUUUGUUUGUAAUUGUCCAGUUUAUUCUGUUUCCUUAUUACAAAUUUAUUUUUGUGAUAUUCUAAUAUAGGUUUGUCCUGGGUUUAUGUAGAUGAGUUAUAAAAAUAAAAAUAAUUUCUGACUCAAUUAUUAUAAGCAAUGAAUAUGUACAGGUAACAAUUACUUCUUUUAGCAAUUUUUAAAGGGGUUAUACUACACAUAAGCGCUUCAUAUGUUCAGUGUUGAAUGGUAUGUUUUCAGUGGAACUUUGAUAAAAUUGAUUGUAUCCCGAG
rnacentral:lncRNA from 1 species